UGUUCUGUAGCUUAGUUGGUUAAAGCGCCGGUCUGACGUACACGGAGUCGUGAGUUCGACUCUCACUAGAACGC
rnacentral:tRNA from 1 species